UAACGACGCGACAUGAUCACAAGCUUGGCCAUCGGAGUACAGGUUUCCUCGAAUAUAUAGCGGUGAUGUUUACAGCUUGUGGCAGCAUAUUCCCGUGAAGUACAGAACAUGAAGGAGUGGUGACAACUGAUGUACCCAUACAAAAGAGGUCAAGGCACAAGCACAGACCUUGUAUACAGAUGAAGAUCUCCUGUGAUUAUUUCUUUCUCCUCAUCUGAUAACUGAAAAUAUAAGGAUGCCCUGCAACUGAAAAUAUAAGGAUGCCCUGCCACUCAGUCCAAGUCCUGACUUGUAAUUUAAGAAAUAAAUGAAGAUCAUCUAAACCAGAA